AUUCAGCUGACGAGUUUCAAAUAGAAAGAAACGUAUGUCUUGGAU
rnacentral:hammerhead_ribozyme from 1 species